AGAUGUUGAAACCCUUCCUUGAGAUACACGUGGAAAAAAAGGAAAAGAAAAAGGAACAACGUUAAGUACACAGACAAGUGGAGAGGGAGUGGCAGAUUUGGUGUUUUCUCUCUUACCCUACUCCUCAUUUUCUCUCCUAAAAUCACCCCAAAUUGGGGAGAUAAGAUUUUGGUGGGUCUGGAGAGAAAAUACCUAAGCCUAGCCAAAAUCUCUCCAAUUUUCCACCCCAACCAAACAACCCAAAAAACCCUUUUCUCUCCCCCAUUUUCUAUCCUCCCUGUUUUCACCCCAACCAAAUGGACCCUAAGUCUAUCCAAGAGUCUUUAUCAUCUAUUCCAGGCUGGAGGAAAACAUUCCAUUAGAAUGAUACAUGGGACAUAGUUCCUCUUCCAUCCAGAAAAAAAAAACUAUUGUUGGUUAUCACUGGAUGUAUACUGUGAAGAACUGCUGGACAGUUCUCUUGUGCAUUUGAAGGCUCAAUGUGUUCCUCCCAUUCUUGAGUUUUUGAAAUUUUAAUUUUAUUGCUUCCCUUUCUAUGUUGUUAAAUAUAUGUAUGUCUCACAAUUGAUGAUUAUAGGUUUCUAUAUUAAUAUGAGCAUUGUUUCUUUGCUGCAACUUAUGGUCAUGCACAACUUAUGGUUUCUUUGCUGCAAGAUAUGCAAGAGAGUGAUCAAAGAAUGACGAUGUUACAAUUGAAAGACAAAAUGAAAAUAAAGCACAAGGAACUAGAUCUGUGCAAGAGUCAGAUUUCCAGCUGGGUUGAAGUGUGGUUUGAAUUAUCUAAAAGGCAAAGGAUUAAAGAUCAUCAGUAAGGUUCUGAACUGAAGCGAGAGGAAACAGAACAACUUGUCAUAAAGCUUAUAUUAGAUCGUAUAUUGAAAGAAGAAUUUCAGCAUACAGCUUAUGCCACAAAUGCUUAUGUAACAUUGGGCCAUUUGCCAAGCAAGUCUUACGCGGAAAGAAAAAUGUGAAACACGACAUUUCUAGCGGAGAGAAGAAUACGGCUAGUCUGAAAUCAGCCAAAUGCAGUCUUGCAUCCUCUGUUUAGCUUGAUGGGCUACGGAAAGAAGUGUCUUUGAUCCUUGGAAAAAUAUCCCCUCAUUCUGUCCUGUCUACUUAACAAAUCAGUAUGAUAUUUAAAAAACUCUAUAUACUACUUUUGUGUUCGUGUAUUAUAAUAAGUAUUACUAUUUCUUCAAAAAAAAAAAAAUAGGAAUGUUUAUCCCACCUUGGCUGUGUGUGUUAGAGUUUAUUACAAAAAUUAGGCCCUUUUAUAGUGAUACUCUAGUUAUGUAAUAUAUUAUAAGCAGCCAAAUUCAUUAGCACAGGCAA